AGUCACUGACAUUAGAUACCCGUCGUAGUCCAGGGUGUAAACGCUGCAGACUUGGUGUUGGAAGUCCUUUGGGGCAUUCAGUGCCGGAGAGAAGUUGUUAAGUCUGCUACUUGGGAGUACGUCCGCAAGGAUGAAACUUAAAGGAAUUGGCGGGGAGCACCGCAACGGGAGGAGCGUGCGGUUUAAUUGGAUUCAACACCGUAAAACUCACCAGGGAAGACUGUUACAUGAAAGCCGAGAUGAAGACUCUGCUAGAUUUUCAG
rnacentral:rRNA from 1 species